rnacentral:rRNA from 1 species
UACAGAGGGGGCAAGCGUUAUUCGGAAUUAUUGGGCGUAAAGGGCGCGUAGGCGGCCUGGCAAGUGGAAGGUGGAAUCCCUCGGCUUAACCGAGGAACUGCCCUCCAAACUGCUUGGCUUGAGUCCGGGAGAGGUGAGUGGAAUUCCCAGUGUAGCGGUGAAAUGCGUAGAUAUUGGGAGGAACACCAGUGGCGAAGGCGGCUCACUGGACCGGAACUGACGCUGAGGCGCGAAAGCGUGGGGAGCAAACAGG